UACUUGUGUCUUGUCUAAUAGUUGAUCUACUUAUUCCUGAAGUUCCUGCGUUUAAGAAGACUAUAAUUCCAAUCAAGCUAAUAAUGAUCAAUAAAGGUACACUAUAUAAAAUAUGUAAGAACAAGUUACUCACAUUAACAUAAUCUAGGCCAGUUAGUCAAAAUAACCACCUAUUCUCAAUAUUAUCCACUCAAAUGAGGAUAUCGCUGGAGAAGGUUCAACACCUCGAAUAAAUAAUUCACCCUAACCAAAAAAAAUAUUGCCAAUGGGAUAGAAUCAGAAAAUAAACGAAUUCAACUUCAACACAAGAAACGACAUACAGGAACCUCAAAUAUAAACAAUUACAUGAAGAUAAACAUGAACAUAUGGAUAUAUGUAUUAGAUAAUGGAUAAAGUAUUAUACUUUGUAGAGACAAUCGGGGGGUACUUGAAUGAAAAUGGUAGCAGCUACAGAAGACGUGGCCGAAGCAGCUACCGGCCAAAUGUGACAACGGUGUAACUUCUGCUUCUCACCUUCGUACCCACGCAUAAUAAUAUCCUUCCAUCAUCACCACCGAUUUCUAGAUCAAUCGAGCCUUCAACCUUGACGAGAACCAUCAAAAGCACAGCAAUUCUCUGAUCCCCUUUCUUUAUUUAAAAUUAAAACCCUAGGUCUUCGUAAUUUGUCAAUUCCAGAUGGUUUGGAACCCUAGAUGGAUAGAAGUAUCUUAGAACAACAGAAACCCCAAAAUUGAGAAGCAAGAAACGGGUGAAUUCGACGAUUAGGGCUUUGGUGUCAAUAAAAUCGAGGGGUUUGACGAAGAAUUCAACAGAUUUAGAUCUAGAGAGAGAAAGAGAGAGGAGAUAGACGAUCGGAUUACCAAAAUCGAGAGAUUUCAGGGCCGGACUUCGAACGAAUGGACGGAGAUAUCGCGUAGAGAGAAGAGAGGGAGAGAAAAGAAACGGAGAGGUGUGGGUUAUUAUGCACUGAGACNNNNN
rnacentral:lncRNA from 1 species